rnacentral:rRNA from 1 species
CGAAAGCCUGACGGAGCCAGACCGCGUGAGGGAAGAAAGUCUUUGGAUCGUAAACCUCUUUUCUCAAGGAAGAAUUCAUGACGGUACUUGAGGAAUCAGCAUCGGCUAACUCCGUGCCAGCAGCCGCGGUAAGACGGAGGAUGCAAGCGUUAUCCGGAAUUAUUGGGCGUAAAGCGUCCGCAGGUGGUUUUUCAAGUCUGCGGUCAAAGCCAGGAGCUCAACUCCGGUUCGGCAGUGGAAACUGGUGAGCUAGAGGGCGACAGGGGUAGAGGGAAUUCCCAGUGUAGCGGUGAAAUGCGUAGAGAUUGGGAAGAACACCGGUGGCGAAAGCGCUCUACUGGGUCGCACCUGACCCUCAGGGACGAAAGCUAAGGUAGCG